GAUGAACGCUGGCGGUCUGCUUAACACAUGCAAGUCGAACGGAAUCCUUCAGGAUUUAGUGGCGGACGGGUGAGUAACACGUGAGAAUCUGCACUCAGGAUGGGGACAACAGCGGGAAACUGCUGCUAAUACCCAAUGUGCCGAAAGGUAAAAGAUUUAUCGCAUGAGAAUGAGCUCGCGGCCGAUUAGUUAGUUGGUGGGGUAAGGGCCUACCAAGACGGCGAUCGGUAGGUGGUCUGAGAGGAUGAGCAGCCACACUGGGACUGAGACACGGCCCAGACUCCUACGGGAGGCAGCAGUGGGGAAUUUUCCGCAAUGGGCGCAAGCCUGACGGAGCAAGACCGCGUGGGGGAGGAAGGCUCUUGGGUUGUAAACCCCUUUUCUCAAGGAAGAACAAAAUGACGGUACUUGAGGAAUCAGCCUCGGCUAACUCCGUGCCAGCAGCCGCCGUAAAAC
rnacentral:rRNA from 1 species